GGAACUGCUUGGUGGCUCGGGGCGGGGCGGGGCUGACCGGAUUGGGGCGGGGCGAGGAGGGACCGGUCGGGGCGGGGCGAGGCGAACAGCGCGGCCAGGGGGCGGUGGUGGCCGCGUGGCCAGCCUGCGGGCGCGGGGCUGCGGGAACUGCUGGGGUACCGCAGUGUUGGGAUCCCGCAGGAGCCGCGCGAGAGGAGGACGCGGAGCGCGUGCGGUGGCUCCUGGCCGCCCAGCCCAGCUGCCGGCUCGCCGCCGCUCUACACAGGGCGCUCUGGCAUAACUACUGCAGAGGGGCUGCAGGCUCGGGCGCGCUGAUUGGCUUCCCAGCAGCCGUCCCCUCUGACUGGCUCUGAGAGAAGUUCCCCAGCCUCACUCCUCCUUCCCGCCGCUCAUUGGCCUACAGCCGAGUGGGCUUUUUCCUUUAGGAUUUUUGCAACCUCUCCAUCCUUCCUUGGGGUGCGUGGAGGUCCCUGGCCUCGGUACCCACCCCCCCAGCCAGGUCCAGCUCGUCUCUGGCCACCAGAGCUUCCCAAGAGGUCUUCCUCCUCCGCACAAAAUCCACCUCUUCUUCCUGCUUUCUGAGGGGCUUCCCUCGAUUCUUUUUCCCAACGCAGCUCACAAACCUACCCCACAAAGAGUCACAUUCAGGGCAGCUGGGGACCGCUGGCGAAGGGGGGGAGAAGCAGGUUCAGAUAAAGAAAGGAAAAGGAGAGCCUCCACCCCAGGAAUUCUGCAGUGAGUGCCAGGCCAUGGAGGAAGAGGUUGUGUGCCAGAACUUGUGGGCUGAGAAGAGAGACAAAGGAAAGGCUAUGAAUUGACUCUUCUUCAGAGGAAAAAGGCCAAUGAUAUCCUGACAACCGGAAAGAAUGCCAUUCUCUUGGCUGAUAGUCUGCAUAUGGAGGAACAACAUUUCACACACAGAUGGAAGGGAAAGUUCAUCUUCCUCAGUAUAACUGCUCCUAUGGCAAAAAAAGGUCAUUUAAUCACAUGGGAGCAGCUAGACGAGAUGAUAAUAUAAAGCAGGAUUCUGUGUGCUUCUAAAUCAUCGGGGCUUUAUCAGCUGCCCCUACACCACUCAAGGAUGGGAAACCCUGAGACGGUUAAACAGAAACAUCAAAGAAUAAAGGAUGGAUGUGCCUGUUGUCCUUUUGUAUAUUUUCA